CGGCCUCCCCGAGGUGGCGAACUACUGGAAGCAAGUCAUCAAGAUCAACGACUAUCAGAAGAGUCGCUUCGUGAACCGAGUUGUGUCGUCCAUGUUUAACAGUGUUGCAGGGAAGAAGAUUGCUGUGCUGGGAUUUGCCUUCAAGAAGGACACUGGAGACACGAGGGAGACCCCGGCUAUCGAUGUUUGCAAGGGUCUCUUGGAGGACAGGGCAAAGAUCAGUAUCUACGAUCCCCAGGUGACACAGGACCAGAUUCAUCGUGACCUUACAAUGAAAAAGUUUGACUGGGACCAUCCGAUCCACCUACAGCCGAUGAACUCUACCGAUGUGAAGCAGGUGAGUGUGGUGUUGGAUGCGUAUGAGGCCACAAAAGG
rnacentral:misc_RNA from 1 species